rnacentral:rRNA from 1 species
UACGGGGGGAGCAAGCGUUGUUCGGAUUUACUGGGCGUAAAGGGCGCGUAGGCGGCCAGCACAAGUCAGUUAUGAAAUCUCCGAGCUUAACUCGGAAAGGUCAACUGAUACUGUGCGGCUAGAGUGCAGAAGGGGCAACUGGAAUUCUUGGUGUAGCGGUGAAAUGCGUAGAUAUCAAGAGGAACACCUGCGGCGAAGGCGGGUUGCUGGGCUGACACUGACGCUGAUGCGCGAAAGCCAGGGGAGCGAACGGG